rnacentral:rRNA from 1 species
AGCGAACGCUGGCGGCGCGCCUAACACAUGCAAGUCGAACGUGAAAAGGGAAACCUGAGUAAAGUGGCGUACGGGUGAGUAACGCGUAGGUAAUCUACCCCAGAAUCUGGAAUAACCUGCCGAAAGGCGGGCUAAUACUGGAUAGAGCGAGGGAACUCGUAAGAGAGUUUUUCGGGAAAGGGAGCCCGCAAGGGCCUUCGUUCUGGGAUGAGCCUGCGUAUCAUUAGCUAGUUGGUAAGGUAACGGCUUACCAAGGCGAUGAUGAGUAGCUGGUCUGAGAGGAGGAUCAGCCACACUGGAACUGAAACACGGUCCAGACUCCUGCGGGAGGGAGCAGGGGGGAAUCUUGCGCAAAGGACGAAAGGCUGACGCAGCCACGCCGGGUGAGUGAAGGAUGCCGUCGGGUUGUAAAGGUCUGUCGGAUGGGACGAACAUCUUCAUAGUGAAUAGCUAUGAGGACUGACGGUACCAGCAAAGGAAGCACCGGCUAACUCCGUG